rnacentral:rRNA from 1 species
UACAGAGGGUGCAAGCGUUAAUCGGAAUUACUGGGCGUAAAGCGCGCGUAGGUGGUUUGUUAAGUUGGAUGUGAAAUCCCCGGGCUCAACCUGGGAACUGCAUCCAAAACUGGCAAGCUAGAGUAUGGUAGAGGGUGGUGGAAUUUCCUGUGUAGCGGUGAAAUGCGUAGAUAUAGGAAGGAACACCAGUGGCGAAGGCGACUCACUGGACACGUAUUGACGCUGAGGUGCGAAAGCGUGGGGAGCAAACAGG